rnacentral:rRNA from 1 species
UACAGAGGUCUCAAGCGUUGUUCGGAUUCAUUGGGCGUAAAGGGUGCGUAGGUGGCGCGGUAAGUCGGGUGUGAAAUUUCGGGAGCUUAACUCCGAAACUGCAUUCGAUACUGCCGUGCUUGAGGACUGGAGAGGAGACUGGAAUUUACGGUGUAGCAGUGAAAUGCGUAGAGAUCGUAAGGAAGACCAGUGGCGAAGGCGGGUCUCUGGACAGUUCCUGACACUGGAGGCACGAAGGCCAGGGGAGCAAACGGG